rnacentral:lncRNA from 1 species
GGCAAACACAUUACAUUAACAAAACACUAAAUUGAAAGGCAUUUAGUUUGUGGAUUUACACUCCAUUUUCAAGAGAAACGAAACAAACUUGGAGCGAUUCUUUCGAUAGCAAAUUCAACGACUUCCGCUGCAACAGAGAAAGGUACACACUGAUUUCUGAUUUUGCUCUGAUUUUACCAUCAAUGCUAUCAGAGUCAGGUUUAUUGCCCUAAUUUUUCAUGUAAUAUCUCGAUUUUGAGUGUAGAAAUAAAAAAUUGAAUUAGGACACACUUGUAAGAAAAAUUAUUGACCGGAUAUAAAUCAUAUAAUCCGGUUAGACACGUAAAAUUUGGUCAGACAUACCACUAAGCCGGUCAGACGCGCCAUCGCUAAUCCGAUCGGAUGCACCGCUGAUCCAAUCAGACGCAUUGAAGUUUUUUUUUUUUUUCAGAACCGGCCUGUUUUAAAAAAAUUAAUAUAUAUAUAUAUACAUAUAUAUAUAUAUAUACAUAUUUGAAAUGGAGAUAGUAAGAAUUAGAUUAUGCUCCCCUCUGUUGCUCCAUCUUGGAUUGAGAUUUUUUUGGAGAAGUUUUUUUUUGAGAACGCUCUUUUUCUUUGCUUUGUUUCUUUAAUGAGAAAUGAAUUCCUUCUUAAAAAUGGUGAAGAAAGACGUUCUACUUUGUGCUUUGUGUUAAAAUAAUUUUUUUUGUUGUAUGGUACUAAUGUUUGUGUAGUACAAGUAAG